rnacentral:misc_RNA from 1 species
GAAAUGCGAUAAGUAAUGUGAAUUGCAGAAUUCAGUGAAUCAUCGAAUCUUUAAACGCACAUUGCGCCCGCCAGUAUUCUGGCGGGCAUGCCUGUCCGAGCGUCAUUUCAACCAUCAAGCCCCCGGGCUUGUGUUGGGGACCUGCGGCUGCCCGCAGGCCCUGAAAACCAGUGGCGGGCUCGCUGUCACACCGAGCGUAGUAGCAAUCACCUCGCUCAGGGCGUGCCGCGGGUUCCGGCCGUUAAACAGCCUUACAAAACCCAAGGUUGACCUCGGAUCAGGUAGGAAGACCCGCUGAACUUAAGC